GGCAAAAUGAAAAAGUUUAUUUUAGGAGUCGCGGCAGUGGAGGCGGCGCAACUAUAACGACAUGUGAAUAAUCUCACCCACUCUAAAGCGAUACUAAACUACAGUGGAAACGCAAACCAUGCCGAGCCGUACCGUACUGAGCCGUGCCGAGAGCCAAUAGAGCCUGUGGUGAGACCAAAGCUGUGGGCCUUCCCUGGGCAAGCCCGCACUGGGCCUGUUUAGGUUUGGUGUGGGCUGGCCCUAGCCCACUGUGCCCGCAAAAAGCCAGCAUGGGCCCCACAAGGACAUGUUUGCAGGGGAAGCAUAGGGAGUUCACACACAAACUCCUUGACUGAGGCAAGACAGUCAAAGAGUUCACAAGCUGCCUCCUUGGUCGUGGCAGGACAAACAGAGUACACAGAAGGUUUUCAUGACCCUAACAGGACAGGCAGAGAUUUCAUAAGUGAUAACCCCACCAUGAGAGGAGUUAGAGUAGACUUGUUGCCUCGGGAGGUUCUGCAGCAGAAGCCACCACCUUGGGAGGAACUGAAGCGGGUUUUGGAGUGUAUUUGAGGAUUGGUACAAUCUUUGGAGUGGAUUCAUAAACUAGAGCAGGCUCUGGAAUGGAUUUGUGGACAGGAGCGGACUCCUGGUUGAACUCUGGGGUGAAAACGGGAUCCUGGCUGAGCUCUGGAGCAAGGGUAGAGCUGACCCUGGACUGUGCUCAGGGGCUGGAGCCUGCACUGGACUCUGGUCAGUGGCUGGAGCCUGCACUGGACUCUAGUCAGCGGCUAGAGCCUGCACUGGACCCUGGUCAGCGGCUGCAGCCUGCACUGUACUGUGUACACAAACAAGACUAAACAGAGAACUGAUUUGAGGUGUGUGCUAAAGUAGUGUAAUGGGGUGGAGGUAGUAUUGGUAGUGGCUCUAUAUUAGGCUUGUUUAGUACUACAAAUGUGUUGGACUACAAAUACCAUGAGUCCAAGUACUAUAAAGAGGGAAAUCAAAAUUUUUGGCCUUCCUCUUUGUGGGAUCAUGUGCUAAGCAGGAGAAGCUGUGUGGUAUGUUUCAGUGCUGUGUGAUAGAUGAAAAGACAAGUAGCCUUGUGAACAAUAUGAAAGUAAAUUGUGGAGUGUGCUUAAUGGAGAUAUACUGAUGGGUGCCUCAGAGAAUUGAGUAGAUUUAUUCAAUAACACAGUCCUACAGGUUAAGCAAGCAGAACCAGGUUGGAAGGAUGCAUUGCUGCAGUGCCAGAGAGCCAGUGAUCUUCCUGGUCCUGGUUAUAUUGCGAGUGCAAGCUAAGCAUCUGGUGCAGAUUCAAGCCGGAACAAUGAGGAAUAAGACAUAAUUCACCCCAAGAAGACCGCUGAGAGGAACAAGCUUUGGACUACCUCAGAAAAAAGAAAUGAAACAGCUUGAGCCAGCAAAGACCCAUAAA